UGGUCUCACACAGUGAAAAUGGCAUGCUU
rnacentral:piRNA from 1 species